rnacentral:rRNA from 1 species
UUGACUCGAACAGGAGGAAUACCGCUGACUAAGAAUAAAAUAAACCGAGGAAUGUUAAAGCCAUAAAUACUGAAAUAUAUC